UUUUGUCUACACUAUAACUGAGAAGGAAUAAAAUGGAUCAGCACCACUAUAUCAGUCCAGUUUGUUGUGGAAGACAAUAAAAAGCAAUAUGACCCAUUAAACUGCAAAGGGUGCCAAAAAGAUAUCCACCCAUUGACAGAAAUACUGAGUAUGCAUGCAUGCUCCGAUAUCUAUUGUUACUACCAUAUAUAUUUCCAGAUCACAUAGAUACUUUUCAGCAAUAGCUAACAAUUAGAAAUUCCACACUCAUACGUGAUAUUAUAAGCUUCCUUGGGAUGCCGUUUGUUGUCGGAUGGUAUAACAUGCAAAGCACGGCUAGCAAAGGAAGUAAGAGAUGCACAUUAGAUAUGUAGAGUACAUAUUUAUAAUAAGAAGUAUGUAAGAUGGCUCAAGAUAAAACCUGAGAAAGGUAAGCUAAGGUAACCCAGACUCCCAGCUCUAGUCCUAAGUAGCAUACACGGCAAUCCCCAAAGGCACGCACUGUGAAUUUUUUACAGGCUGCAACAAUGAACCACACCAUGCCAAAGCUUUGUUCUCUUUCAAAAUCGGAAUAUCACUUACUGGCAUAAUAAUAAAAAUGGAUCAAAAGUGAAUGACAUAAGGCUCAGUUGCACUGCUACUUUUUUUAAUACCUAUUGACAAUGGCAGAAUCAUGUAGAGUAGAGUUUGAGACCGAGCAGUUGAACGCAUAGUACGAACUGUAGCGUCCGGGAGAGAAAUUAAGAACAAAGAAAGUAUUUGCACACCAUAGAUGACUGUGAGGCAUUGAGGAUGAUGAUAUUUCGUGUCUUCUUGGAAGCGAAUAGGAUCCACCACCACAACGGUCGGCAGCGCACCGACUUCUUCGGCUGAUCGCUCUCUGUCCUCAAUCCUGGUUUCCUCCUCGCCACAAGCAUCGAGCCCACCG
rnacentral:lncRNA from 1 species